CCUACGGGUGGCUGCAGUGGGGAAUAUUGGGCAAUGGGGGAAACCCUGACCCAGCAACGCCGCGUGAGGGAAGAAGGUUUUCGGAUUGUAAACCUCUGUCUUAUGGGAAGAAGGAAGUGACGGUACCAUAAGAGGAAGCCCCGGCUAACUACGUGCCAGCAGCCGCGGUAAUACGUAGGGGGCGAGCGUUGUCCGGAAUUACUGGGCGUAAAGGGCGCGUAGGCGGCCUUUUAAGUCAGGCGUGAAACCCCCGGGCUUAACCUGGGGCAUGCGCAUGAGACUGGAAGGCUUGAGUGCAGGAGAGGAAAGCGGAAUUCCUAGUGUAGCGGUGAAAUGCGUAGAUAUUAGGAGGAACACCAGUGGCGAAGGCGGCUUUCUGGACUGUAACUGACGCUGAGGCGCGAAAGCGUGGGGAGCAAACAGGAUUAGAUACCCCGGUAGUC
rnacentral:rRNA from 1 species